rnacentral:rRNA from 1 species
AGCAGCCGCGGUAAUUCCAGCUCCAAUAGCGUAUAUUAAAGUUGUUGCAGUUAAAAGGCUCGUAGUUGAAUUUCGGGAUCAGAUUGUUGGUCGUGCCUCGGUACGCACUGGCAUUAUUGGUUCCUACCUUCUGAAGAACCGCGAUGUCAUUAAUUUGGUGUCGUGGGGAAUCAGGACUGUUACUUUGAAAAAAUUAGAGUGUUUAAAGCAGGCGCACGCUUGAAUACAUUAGCAUGGAAUAAUGAAAUAGGACGUUUGAUUCUAUUUUGUUGGUUUCUAGGAUCGACGUAAUGAUUAAUAGGGAUAGUUGGGGGCAUUAGUAUUCAAUUGUCAGAGGUGAAAUUCUUGGAUUUAUUGAAGACUAACUACUGCGAAAGCAUUUGCCAAGGAUGUUUUCAUUAAUCAAGAACGAAAGUUAGGGGAUCGAAGACGAUCAGAUACCGUCGUAGU